rnacentral:rRNA from 1 species
ACGCUCGACACCUACGGGAGGCAGCAGUGGGGAAGUAUUGCACAAUGGGGGAAACCCGUGAUGCAGCGACGCCGCGUGAGUGAAGAAGUAUUUCGGUAUGUAAAGCUCUAUCAGCAGGGAAGAAAAUGACGGUACCUGACUAAGAAGCCCCGGCUAACUACGUGCUAGCAGCCGCGGUAAUCUGAGCGGGCUGGCAAGGC